UACGGGGGGGGCAAGCGUUGUUCGGAAUUACUGGGCGUAAAGGGCUCGUAGGCGGCCAACUAAGUCAGACGUGAAAUCCCUCGGCUUAACCGAGGAACUGCGUCUGAUACUGGAAGGCUUGAAUCCGGGAGAGGGAUGUGGAAUUCCAGGUGUAGCGGUGAAAUGCGUAGAUAUCUGGAGGAACACCGGUGGCGGAGGACGGCGAUCCUGGACCGGUAUUGACGCUGAGGCGCGAAAGCUAGGGGAGCAAACGGG
rnacentral:rRNA from 1 species